GAAUUUGUCUAUUUAAGUUAAAUUCUCUGUUCAAUAAGUAUAGAAUAUUCAUUGGUCUCUAUGGAAAACCAACUUUGUACAUAAAAAUUGUUCUAUUUUCUAAUUAUUCUAGGUAUGCAACAAUUUAAAUCAUUGCCAUUGUUUGAAAGGGUUUGGGCCUCCUAACUGCAAGCCCCUUCUAGGAGGGUUUGGAAGUGUCGAUGAUGGACACGAGCACAAAGCCGGUAAAAGUUUUUUGAAGGGAAGAUCUCUUGGUCAUCCAAAACACAGACUUCAACUCGUUUUCUACAUUUCUAUACCUGUGUUCAUCAUUGCUGCUGCUCUUAUAAUAAAGCAGGAUAAAAUAAGAGAGCUGUGCUACAAAGGAGAACUUGAAAGUGAAAGGUAUAUAUGUUUUAUUCUUAUCAAAUAAAUAAGUCAAGAAAAAAGUACUCAUGGUUCAUCUAGAAUAUGCUAAGACUAUAUAGGUAAAGCGAUAUGAGGAGAGGC
rnacentral:lncRNA from 1 species